AGUGGAGAACAUACUUAGUUAAUUCGGAUACGGUAAAAGUUCGGUAUGGAUAAAAUACAAAUAAAAUUCGUAUCUUGAUUUUUAAAUUCGUUGAAAAAUACGGUUUGAAAAUCAGAUUCGUCAAUAAUUCGUAUAGGCGAUUUAUACGAGAAUUUUAUAUUUAUCAUUUAAAAAUUCAGAAUAAAAAUUCGUCUAUUAAAUUAAUUUUUUUCUUUAGAUUUAUACUAUUAUCAUAAAUAAUUAUAAUUCUUAUAAAUAUAAAAAUAAAAUAAUAUAAAACAAUAUAUACACAUACACACAAACACAAA
rnacentral:lncRNA from 1 species